GUGGGGAAUAUUGGACAAUGGGGGGAACCCUGAUCCAGCCAUGCCGCGUGUGUGAAGAAGGCCUUUUGGUUGUAAAGCACUUUAAGUUGGGAGGAAGGGCAGUAAGUUAAUACCUUGCUGUUUUGACGUUACCAACAGAAUAAGCACCGGCUAACUUCGUGCCAGCAGCCGCGGUAAUACGAAGGGUGCAAGCGUUAAUCGGAAUUACUGGGCGUAAAGCGCGCGUAGGUGGUUUUGUAAGUUGGAGGUGAGAUCCCCGGGCUCAACCUGGGAACUGCCUCCAAAACUGCAUGACUAGAGGACGGUAGAGGGUAGUGGAAGUUCCUGUGUAGCGGUGAAAUGCGUAGAUAUAGGAAGGAACACCAGUGGCGAAGGCGACUACCUGGACUGAUACUGACACUGAGGUGCGAAAGCGUGGGGAGCAAACAGGAUUAGAAACCCGAGUAGUCC
rnacentral:rRNA from 1 species